rnacentral:rRNA from 1 species
UUAGAGUGUUUAAAGCAGGCUCGCGCUUGAAUACAUUAGCAAUGGAAUAAUGAAUAGGACGUUUGAUUCUAUUUUGUUAGGUUUCUAGGAUCGACGUAAUGAUUAAUAGGGAUAGUUGGGGGCAUUAGGUAUUCAAUUGUCAGAGGUGAAAUUCUUGGAUUUAUUGAAGACUAACUACUGCGAAAGCAUUUGCCAAGGAUGUUUUCAUUAAUCAAGAACGAAAGUUAGGGGAUCGAAGACGAUCAGAUACCGUCGUAGUCUUAACCAUAAACUAUGCCGACUAGGGAUCGGAUGAUGUUAAUUAUGACUCAUUCGGCGCCUUACG